AAAAGCCUCGACUUUUUGGAAGAGGUGUAUUUAUUAGAUUCAAACCAACAUAGGUUCACGCCUAUUAUAUGGUGAUUCAUAAUAAACAUGCGAAUCGGUAGAUUUCUACCGAUGAAUCAUUCAAGUUUCUGCCCUAUCAGCUGUCGAUGGUAGGGUAUUGGCCUACCAUGGCUCUAACGGGUAACGGAGAAUUAGGGUUCGAUUCCGGAGAGGGAGCCUGAGAAACGGCUACCACAUCCAAGGAAGGCAGCAGGCGCGUAAAUUACCCAAUCCUAAUUCAGGGAGGUAGUGACAAGAAAUAACAAUACAGGACUUUUUAAGUCUUGUAAUUGGAAUGAGUACAAUUUAAACCCUUUAACGAGGAUCAAUUGGAGGGCAAGUCUGGUGCCAGCAGCCGCGGUAAUUCCAGCUCCAAUAGCGUAUAUUAAAGUUGUUGCAGUUAAAAAGCUCGUAGUUGAAUUUCGGCAGAUGUUUGCGCUUAACGCGAAAAACUCAGCCUAUUGUAGUUCUUGCAGUGGGUAUUAACUUACCUGUUGUUGGUGCUACAUCAUUUACUGUGAAAAAAUUAGAGUGUUC
rnacentral:rRNA from 1 species